ensembl:rRNA 5S_rRNA 5S ribosomal RNA
GCUUACGGCCAUACCAUCCUGAAUAUGUGUGAUCUCAGAGGCCAACCAGGGUUAGGCCUGGUUAGUACUUGGGUGGGAGACCACCUGGGAAUACCAGGUGCUGCAAGCU